rnacentral:tRNA from 1 species
CGGGGAUUGGCGCAGUUGGUAGCGCGCUUGUUUUGGGAACAAGAGGCCGUGAGUUCGAAUCUCGCAUCCCCGACCA